ACGAACGCUGGCGGCGUGCUUAACACAUGCCAGUCGCACGGAAAGGCCCUGCUUUUGUGGGGUGCUCGCGUGGCGAAUGGGUGAGUAACACGUGAGUAACCUGCCCUUGACUUUGGGAUAACUUCAGGAAACUGGGGCUAAUACCGGAUAGGAGCUCCUGCUGCAUGGUGGGGGUUGGAAAGUUUCGGCGGUUGGGGAUGGACUCGCGGCUUAUCAGCUUGUUGGUGGGGUAGUGGCUUACCAAGGCUUUGACGGGUAGCCGGCCUGAGAGGGUGACCGGCCACAUUGGGACUGAGAUACGGCCCAGACUCCUACGGGAGGCAGCAGUGGGGAAUAUUGCACAAUGGGCGGAGGCCUGAUGCAGCAACGCCGCGUGCGGGAUGACGGCCUUCGGGUUGUAAACCGCUUUCGCCUGUGACGAAGCGUGAGUGACGGUAAUGGGUAAAGAAGCACCGGCUAACUACGUG
rnacentral:rRNA from 1 species